rnacentral:lncRNA from 1 species
CCCAUGAGGAUCAUGAGGUACAGGGAAGUUAAAUAAGGUCCGUGUGUUCACAGGUUCUUAGAGAUCGAAGCCGUAUUCCAUCAUUUCCUCAAGCACCAGGUCGACGGCAGCAGGAUUUGGAGGUAACAGGGACGCUGGAGAAGGAGUCCGAGGGGCCGGUGGGUAGGCAUGGCCAGUGGUAGGGCACGUCAAGAUUUACCACGCCCCAGGGCAA